GACGAACGCUGGCGGCGUGCCUAAUACAUGCAAGUCGAACGCAGUGGGGACGGGUGAGUAACACGUGGGUAACCUCCCAUCAGAGGGGAUAACACUUGGAAACAGGUGCUAAACCGAUACUGAUGGAUGGACCCGCGGUGCAUUAGCUAGUUGGUGAGGUAACGGCUCACCAAGGCCACGAUGCAUAGCCGGUCUGAGAGGGGGAUCAGCCACACUGGGACGGAGACACGGCCCAGACUCCUACGGGAGGCAGCAGUAGGGAAUCUUCGGCAAUGGAGGAAACUCUGACCGAGCAAUGCCGCGUGAGUGAAGAAGGUUUUCGGAUCGUAAAACUCUGUUGUUAGAGAAGCGGUAUCUGACGAGAAAGCACCGGCUAACUACGUGCCAGCAGCCGCGGUAAUUC
rnacentral:rRNA from 1 species